AGAAAUGAAACCUCCUUUGCAUGACAGGAAGCAGGGGAGUUCCCUGAAGUACGUUUGCAAACCUAAAAACACCCCAAACGCAUCUUUCAUCACCACCUGGAAGCCUAGAGUGUGAAGAGAAACAGAAAGCAAGUCUUAUUCCCUGAGAGGCCAGGCUCACCCUGAUGCUGGCAGAGAGAACCUGCUGUGAUCUCCCUGCCUGCUGGGCAGAUGAGAAACCUGAAGCCCGGAGCAGGGCACAGAAGACGAUGUGGAGCAGGCACUUUGCACAACUGUCUUUGGUGGAGAAUGCCAGUGUGGUCACUCUGUGGGGCCCUGCCCACUGCUCUGCUUCUUACUGCUCUGAGGCGGGGAUAUCCGGAAUCUGCCUGAAAGUGAGGAGGCUAAAAAGGUAGUUUUAAGAAUUUACCUGGGAAGCAAGGAAGAAUACUGACCAGCAAGUCCAAGCUGUUUAUGUGGGUCUGGAUGUUGUGUGCAUCUUCAGAAGGAACUCCCUGGAAGUGCUUCAGUUUGGAACUUCCUGUCUCCCUUAUAACCAUGGCAAAUGGAACCAUCCAUUUGACACACUUCUCUAUAUCACACCACUGAUACCCUGCAAUGAAAAUUAAUUUCAGGUUCAAGCUGAGGCCAACAGUGUUUUCCAAGUUUAAUACACUUUGUGAACAGACUGGAAAGCUAACGUACCUGAAACCUUCUGCAUCAAUUCAGAUGAAGAGAAAUGAUACAAGGCAGAAGCAGCAAGCACACCAUAGGAAAAUUCUAAGCAGCCAACAUCCAGGACACAGAGAUCUAAAAGCUACAAAGAAAAGAACUGAAGUGGAUGGUCAACACACAUCUUUUCUAGAGCUACUCAA